GACGUAUGAUGCAAGCGUUGUCCGGAAUUACUGGGCGUAAAGCGUGCGCAGGCGGUUCGUUGUGUCGGCGGUGAAAGCCCCGGGCUCAACCUGGGAAUGGCCGUUGAAACUGGCGAACUGGAGUGUGGCAGAGGGGGGUGGAAUUCCGCGUGUAGCAGUGAAAUGCGUAGAGAUGUGGAGGAAUACCGAUGGCGAAGGCAGCCUCCUGGGCCAACACUGACGCUCAUGCACGAAAGCGUGGGGAGCAAACAGG
rnacentral:rRNA from 1 species